rnacentral:rRNA from 1 species
AGAGUUUGAUCAUGGCUCAGAUUGAACGCUGGCGGCAGGCCUAACACAUGCAAGUCGAGCGGAAACGAGUUAUCUGAACCUUCGGGGAACGAUAACGGCGUCGAGCGGCGGACGGGUGAGUAAUGCCUAGGAAAUUGCCCUGAUGUGGGGGAUAACCAUUGGAAACGAUGGCUAAUACCGCAUGAUGCCUACGGGCCAAAGAGGGGGACCUUCGGGCCUCUCGCGUCAGGAUAUGCCUAGGUGGGAUUAGCUAGUUGGUGAGGUAAGGGCUCACCAAGGCGACGAUCCCUAGCUGGUCUGAGAGGAUGAUCAGCCACACUGGAACUGAGACACGGUCCAGACUCCUACGGGAGGCAGCAGUGGGGAAUAUUGCACAAUGGGCGCAAGCCUGAUGCAGCCAUGCCGCGUGUGUGAAGAAGGCCUUCGGGUUGUAAAGCACUUUCAGUCGUGAGGAAGGUAGUGUAGUUAAUAGCUGCAUUAUUUGACGUUAGCGACAGAAGAAGCACCGGCUAACUCCGUGCCAGCAGCCGCGGUAAUACGGAGGGUGCGAGCGUUAAUCGGAAUUACUGGGCGUAAAGCGCAUGCAGGUGGUUUGUUAAGUCAGAUGUGAAAGCCCGGGGCUCAACCUCGGAAUAGCAUUUGAAACUGGCAGACUAGAGUACUGUAGAGGGGGGUAGAAUUUCAGGUGUAGCGGUGAAAUGCGUAGAGAUCUGAAGGAAUACCGGUGGCGAAGGCGGCCCCCUGGACAGAUACUGACACUCAGAUGCGAAAGCGUGGGGAGCAAACAGGAUUAGAUACCCUGGUAGUCCACGCCGUAAACGAUGUCUACUUGGAGGUUGUGGCCUUGAGCCGUGGCUUUCGGAGCUAACGCGUUAAGUAGACCGCCUGGGGAGUACGGUCGCAAGAUUAAAACUCAAAUGAAUUGACGGGGGCCCGCACAAGCGGUGGAGCAUGUGGUUUAAUUCGAUGCAACGCGAAGAACCUUACCUACUCUUGACAUCCAGAGAACUUUUCAGAGAUGAAUUGGUGCCUUCGGGAACUCUGAGACAGGUGCUGCAUGGCUGUCGUCAGCUCGUGUUGUGAAAUGUUGGGUUAAGUCCCGCAACGAGCGCAACCCUUAUCCUUGUUUGCCAGCGAGUAAUGUCGGGAACUCCAGGGAGACUGCCGGUGAUAAACCGGAGGAAGGUGGGGACGACGUCAAGUCAUCAUGGCCCUUACGAGUAGGGCUACACACGUGCUACAAUGGCGCAUACAGAGGGCAGCCAACUUGCGAAAGUGAGCGAAUCCCAAAAAGUGCGUCGUAGUCCGGAUUGGAGUCUGCAACUCGACUCCAUGAAGUCGGAAUCGCUAGUAAUCGUGGAUCAGAAUGCCACGGUGAAUACGUUCCCGGGCCUUGUACACACCGCCCGUCACACCAUGGGAGUGGGCUGCAAAAGAAGUAGGUAGUUUAACCUUCGGGAGGACGCUUACCACUUUGUGGUUCAUGACUGGGGUGAAGUCGUAACAAGGUA